UACGUAGGGGGCAAGCGUUGUCCGGAAUCAUUGGGCGUAAAGCGCGUGUAGGCGGUUCGAUAAGUCUGCUGUGAAAGUCCAGGGCUCAACCCUGGGAUGCCGGUGGAUACUGUCGGGCUAGAGUGCGGAAGAGGCGAGUGGAAUUCCCGGUGUAGCGGUGAAAUGCGCAGAUAUCGGGAGGAACACCUAUGGCGAAGGCAGCUCGCUGGGACGUUACUGACGCUGAGACGCGAAAGCGUGGGGAGCAAACAGG
rnacentral:rRNA from 1 species